rnacentral:rRNA from 1 species
AUUGAACGCUGGCGGCAGGCUUAACACAUGCAAGUCGAGCGAGCGGCGGACGGGUGAGUAAUGUCUGGGAAACUGCCUGAUGGAGGGGGAUAACUACUGGAAACGGUAGCUAAUACCGCAUACCAUCAGAUGUGCCCAGAUGGGCUUAGCUAGUAGGUGGGGUAAGGGCUCACCUAGGCGACGAUCCCUGGCUGGUCUGAGAGGAUGACCAGCAACACUGGAACGGGGACACGGUCCAGACUCCUACGGGAGGCAGCAGUGGGGAAUAUUGCACAAUGGGAGCAAGCCUGAUGCAGCCAGGCCGCGUGUGUGAAGAAGGCCUGCGGGUGGUAAAGCACUUUCAGCGAGGAGGCGUUACUCGCAGAAGAAGCACCGGCUAACUCCGUGCCAGCAGCCGCGGUAAUAC